rnacentral:lncRNA from 1 species
AAACACCAAAAUCUUCUUUCCAUCGUCUCCUCACAUCUUUCUAGUGUUUUUUCAAUAAAAUAUGUCAGCCUAAUAUCCUCAUUUAGUCUCCCUGCCAUAAUCAUUGAUCGAACCACCAUGAGUCAUUGAUAAAUUAAGGUAAAAUCACUACAUUUCUCAUAAUUUGAUGGGUGUCAUUGUUAAAUUAUGAAAUUCUUAAUUUUGAUUUAAUAUUGUUUUUGUGGUGUUUGAUAAUUGAGUAUUUUGUUUUAAUUGAGAUAAUUUCAAGUUUGAUUCAAGCAAUCAUGUAUGUUUUUAUGCAAUUGAUGUUAUUUAUGGAAUCAAUUAGGUUCAAAUUAGAUAAAUUAAGGUUUGUAAAAUAAAGAAAUUAGGGUUUGUAUUGAGUUUUGGGAUAAAUUCGAAUGAUUGGAUAUUUUGUUUGAAUUGAGAUAAUUUAGAUUUUAAUUUAUACAAUUAGGUAUGUUUUCAUGGAUGCAAUGUUAUGAAUAUCAAAAUAAUGGCAAUUAGGUUUUGCAUUAAGUUUUGGGAUAAAUAAUCGUAAUUGGAUAUUUUAUUGGAAUUGAGAUAAUUAAGCUAAUUAGGUUUUAAUUGAUGCAAUUGAGUAUGGUUUCCAUGCAAUUGAUGUUAUGAAUGUUGAUAUAUGAACAAUAAUGGUCUCACUCGUCUUUUUUUAGCAUGCUAAGUUGCUUGCCUAAACCAUAUAAUGUUAUUGGUAUAGAUACAAGUGACAAAUCACAUGCUAUUAGUUGACGGGAUAAACAUGAUGAUUAUAAUUGGAUGACCUAUAAUCUCCAUUACAUAGUGCAGUGGGAUGCACAAAGAGAUGAGAUCCUUAUAGAGGUGCAAUCUAUUAUUUCAGAUAAUGAAUAUAUGGAGUGCUAUUGGUGUAUAAUGUAACAUAUCAUCACACCAAACUCGGUGCAAGUUUCUUUAUGCAAGAACAUGGAGUAUGAGUCAUAUGCACCAUGGAUGCAAAAUGUUGUAAGUACUUCAUACGUUUUGUAAUUAAUAUGUGAUGCUAAAUGUGUUUUAUUUAUGGAUUAAUAACUAUAUUUGCUAAACAUUUGGUAAACAAUUUGUUACAAGAUGGUCGAGAAACUGUCAGUGGUCUUCGUGAGAUUGAAGAUAACACACUUGCUCAUUAUUAUACACCUUGUUAGUUUGACUCAUGUCGCACUACAUUUCAGAUGCUUGGAGAGACGAUGUUGUGUUGGUGUAUGAGACGACUUAAACACUAGGAAGUCUUGCUAUUGAUAAAGCUGACCCAUUGGCUCAUCAUUGUAGACAUAGAUAGACUAGGAUAUAUGUACAGUAUAAAUAUGUUGUGUUAUUUUCUUAGAGUCUGUUUAUUUUUGCGUUUUGAAAGUAUUUUUUUUAAUUUUUUUCUAUUUCAAAUUGUUUUUUUUUUUUGUGUUUUCAGAUCGUUUUG